UAAAUGCCUUGCUUUGCGUAGGAAUCGGCGUACACCCGUCCUUUGCCUGUUUUAGGUUGUACCCACUUUUCAUAAAUGAGUGCCAUUCUGUGGGAGGAGCUG